AUGAGGCUUCCCUGGGAUGAGAUGGAGACGAGGGCACUGAAUGACUUUGAGUUAGGGGGACUCAAGAGGGUGAGGGCACCAUGAUCAUUACCCCUUCAGUCUCCUGUCUCCCUCUUGGCGGAAUCACACUAGGGGUAUCUUCAAAGGUCUGAGACAGAAGUCUUCCUUCUUGGGUUCUUGGUGUGGAGGCUGGUGAUGUUUUUGAGACACCAUAAUAUUUGUAGCAUUGGCGAUGCCUUGCCUAGACAAACCACAGAAGACUAGACUGACCUCUGCAUGGGCAGCAGUGUCUGAACUCUCAUCACCCAAGAACUCGCCAACACAGCGCUACUGGGUAUUCCUGACCCUCCAGCAGCCCAGAGCAGACGAGAAAGCCCCCAGCAGAGGGGUUUAGUUCCCUCUCCC
rnacentral:lncRNA from 1 species